ACGCUGGCCGAACGCAGGCUUUGGAGCGUGGGUAACCCGGCAGGACGCCGGGUUAGCCGCGCUGGGCCAGGGAUGGCCCAUCGCGGCGGCCCACGCUCCAGAGCCUGCGUUCGGGCACACC
rfam:Rhodobacteraceae bacterium PD-2 genomic scaffold scaffold319, whole genome shotgun sequence.